GAGGAAUAUUGCACAAUGGGCGCAAGCCUGAUGCAGCAACGCCGCGUGCGGGACGAAGGCCCUCGGGUCGUAAACCGCUUUUCUGGGGGACGAGCAAGGACGGUACCUCAGGAAUAAGUCUCGGCUAACUACGUGCCAGCAGCCGCGGUAAAACGUAGGAGGCGAGCGUUAUCCGGAUUUACUGGGCGUAAAGCGCAUGCAGGCGGCUGGGUGAGUCGGACGUGAAAGCUCCUGGCUUAACUGGGAGAGGCCGUUCGAUACUGCCCGGCUUGAGGUUGGGAGAGGGGUGCGGAAUUCCCGGUGUAGUGGUGGAAUGCGUAGAUAUCGGGAGGAACACCAGUGGCGAAGGCGGCACCCUGGCCCACACCUGACGCUGAGGUGCGAAAGCGUGGGUAGCAAAC
rnacentral:rRNA from 1 species